rnacentral:rRNA from 1 species
GAUGAACGCUGGCGGCGUGCUUAACACAUGCAAGUCGAACGGAAAGGCCCAAGCUUGCUUGGGUACUCGAGUGGCGAACGGGUGAGUAACACGUGGGUGAUCUGCCCUGCACUUCGGGAUAAGCCUGGGAAACUGGGUCUAAUACCGGAUAGGACCACAUUUUGGAUGGUGUGGUGGAAAGUUUUUCGGUGUGGGAUGAGCUCGCGGCCUAUCAGCUUGUUGGUGGGGUAAUGGCCUACCAAGGCGUCGACGGGUAGCCGGCCUGAGAGGGUGUACGGCCACAUUGGGACUGAGAUACGGCCCAGACUCCUACGGGAGGCAGCAGUGGGGAAUAUUGCACAAUGGGCGCAAGCCUGAUGCAGCGACGCCGCGGGGGGGAUGACGGCCUUCGGGUUGGAAACUCCUUUCGCUAGGGACGAAGCGUUAUGUGACGGUACCUGGAGAAGAAGCACCGGCUAACUACGUG